rfam:Cavia porcellus supercont2_7 genomic scaffold, whole genome shotgun sequence.
GGGGAUUUAGCUUAGUGGCAUAAGCACCUGUCUUGUAUGCAGGCAGUCGUGAGUUCGAUUCUUGGUACCG